rnacentral:rRNA from 1 species
CACGUAGGAGGCGAGCGUUUGUCCGGAAUCAUUGGGCGUAAAGAGCGCGCAGGCGGCUUGGCAAGUCGGGUGUGAAAUCCCGGGGCUCAACCCCGUGACUGCAUCCGAUACUGUCAGGCUAGAGGUAGGUAGGGGAGAUCGGAAUUCCUGGUGUAGCGGUGAAAUGCGCAGAUAUCAGGAGGAACACCGGUGGCGAAGGCGGAUCUCUGGGCCUUACCUGACGCUCAGGUGCGAAAGCUAGGGGAGCGAACAGG